rnacentral:rRNA from 1 species
UACGUAGGGUGCGAGCGUUGUCCGGAAUUAUUGGGCGUAAAGAGCUCGUAGGCGGUUUGUCGCGUCUGCCGUGAAAGUCCGGGGCUCAACUCCGGAUCUGCGGUGGGUACGGGCAGACUAGAGUGAUGUAGGGGAGACUGGAAUUCCUGGUGUAGCGGUGAAAUGCGCAGAUAUCAGGAGGAACACCGAUGGCGAAGGCAGGUCUCUGGGCCGAUACUGACGCUGAGGAGCGAAAGCGUGGGGAGCGAACAGG